CAAAGUUCAACGGCAAGACAAAUUCAAAUGUAACGUCCACUGAAGUUUUCACAACGAUCAAAUCCUUUUGAACUUCUCUCUUCUUCUUCUUCCUCUGAAAAUUCCACAAGCUUUCCCUAAUAAAUUCUCAGAAAAUUCAACAUGGAAACUGUAACCGUCUCACUAAACGCUCCUUCAAGACCUAAUAUCUCGAAUUCCAUCUCCAAGGUGAGGGUAGUAGUAGUGACCUCUCUCAGGAUAUUUCGGCAAAGAACGGAAACCCUAAGUCCUGUAUUUCGGUUGUCGAUAAGGAAUUUGAGUCCUGUAAUGAAGUCAGUGUUCAUCUCAAAGACCCUAAUACCAGUUGGUACGAGACCUAUCAGUUGGAUUCGUUCUUUGACCAAACAGAUGAGACAGUGAACAAGAAAUUUGGUGCACUAAGUACUAGUGUAAAGACUUCACUUAUACAAGAAUACAUUGAUUUCUUGAACACAGCGAGCAGAGAAGAGCUGCUUGAGUUGAAGGCAUGCCACCACUGAUCAAUAGUAAUGCCCCUGAUAAAUUCUUCUCAAAUAAUCCUAGAUGGUAUUUGUUAUCUCAACAACUUUCAUUGACUCUUCAGUGUCAUUCAGGGGAUUGGACCGAAAUUGGCAGAUUAUAUAUAUGAACCAGGAGAAACAAGUCCCUUGAAAUUGGCAGUUUAUAAUUCUGUUUCACUAUUGUUUGCAGCUGGGCGAUUUAGAGAAGAUAGGGCUUUCAUCCAAGCAGGCUUACAACUUAUUUAUCAAAACAGCAAAAGGAAUUUUUGAUGGCGCAGGUGCCAUAACUACUCUAUUCUAAACAGUUCACCAGGAAUUUUGGACACUGGAUUUGCUAAUAUAUUUAUUUAAUUGAAGGACCCAUCUAUGCUUUGAAAAGAAGAAAAGAUGGCGUCUCAUUUAUUGUCGUUACAAGUGCAAGGGUUGCAGUUGCAAUUGGGUCCGCACUUGCAGGCGUUCUCACAGCCACCGGCUCUCUCACCUUGCCUGCAUUAUUCACCCGACAACAAACAAAGCAUCAGUGAAAGACAAAAUAACAAAAGGGAAUCCUGGAAGAUCUGAAACUCACUGCUUUUUGGGUGAAACGGCAGGGACAGGAAUCUCGGCGGUCUUCGUGUCACUGAAAAGAAAAUCAUGUCAUUUUGAUAUAAUGUGUCAAGGAAAUGAAUUUGAGAAAUUUAAACAGAAAGGAGAAGAACUUACUCUCCACGGGCGGCACUGCCGUAUUUGGCAGCGGCCGGAGCAUUUACAUCACGGCAAGACAUUUUUAGGAAAAAUGAGGUGAACCCAGAUGGACGUGUUGAUGUUGAAGACUGAAUUUAUAGGGCGGGGAAAAUUUCUUCAUUGAUGAACCGUCCACUUUUCAUGAGAAGUCAGUUUAGCCCCAACUUCUUGAAUCCGAAAAUUUCUUCAUUGAUGAACCGAGUCUUAUGUGAAUGGGAUAAGAUAAUAUAUUCCACAUUUUAAGAGAAUGGCAGUACUUGUAACCGAUCAAACGCUUCUAGUUUGGAAUUUGGAUUACAGGUCCCUUGCAUUACUAAGCAUUUUGCCUUCUCAGAGACUCAUUCAUGAGGCCAAAAAACCAAUUAGGCCCAUUUGCCCGAAAAAGCAAUCAAGUUUUUCAGUAACUGAUUGAUCCAAUAAUUUUAAUAAAAAAUAUUUUUUAUAA